rnacentral:tRNA from 1 species
AUUUAAAUAGUUUAAAAAAAAUAUUGAUUUGUGGAAUCAAGGAUGUAUUGAUAUUACUUUAAAUA